GAGGAUGGAGGAGGAAGAAGGGAUGUGGCGGCUGUGGACCCGUCUCGUCUUCAACCUCUGCGCGCUGCCGUCCCCGUACAUGCUCGUCUCCGUCUGGUCCAGAUGAGGCACAAGAUUCAUGCCCGGAGGCUGGAUGUUACCGGGAGGGAAAAAUAUUAUCAAAUAGAAGAAGGAGAAAUUCAACCAAGCCUGACGAGAUCAAGACACGCAUCGCUGGCAUCGAGAUCAAGUGAAGCUGCGCUGGAGCGAUGGCGCAUGUCUCGCCAUGCACGGUCGCUCCUCUCCAUGAAUCCACAGUUGGUAGACUGGCAUUACUUCUACCAGUGUUGUUGGUACAACAGGUCAACAGCUACAACUUCAUGGCUUCUUUGAGCUUUAUUUGUGUUUCCUGAAGAUAGGAGAGCGCCAACGACACUUGUGAGAGUGACAUCAGCUAUAUACAAAUUGAUACUUAAUAUGGAGAAUUGAGUUAGUGAAGCUGUGUGGCCAUGGCGAUGUGCCGAUGUACACCUGGUUCCUAACCCUUCAGAAGGUACUUUGUCAAGAUCUAGAUGCUCGGGUUCACCGACACAAUACCAAUAGUACAGUACAUGCUGCUUGCUUCGCCGCUGACCCGCUCCUUUGAUUUCCCGUCCAUGUAUGGAAAACAG